UUGCAUAUAUCAUCGGCCCAUGAAGGUCAUCAAUUGACAGUCUCUCAGCAAACAACCGGUCUUGAACGGAGGCAGCACUCCCACCUACAGCCAAAACAGUGACCUAUGAAUAACGUCUACCUUUGGGACCAGGCUUCUCAUGAGUCCCACAACAGGUUCAAUGAAAGUCUCGCCACUCUUGCUGUUGUAUUAGUAACAGCAGUUAACACUAAACGUAUUGGAGGUACCGUGCUGAGAUAUCUGUCUACAACAAUGUCGUUAAGGCAACUUUGUGCUCUUUGGUAAUACUGGUCCUGAGCUAACAUGGAGGCAGGCGUUAGAGCUUAUUGACAAUUACUUCGAAGUUACUCAUACUCAUCUUAUAUUUCACCUCCCAAACAAUCUAAACUGACUUAAUCAUGUUUGAUAUUGCAGGCUAAUAGGGACAUCGGUGCUAACCAUGAGAUGCCAACUCCACAAUGUCUGGUGGAAGUCUCGAGCUCCAACCUUAAGAGACAGACCAUAAUUGUAACGAGGGUUGUUUUUCCCGCAGUUCUGCCACCAUUUGUAGUAGCAGAAAGCCAACCAGACGCAAUCGAUGAAGAGAGCACAUGCUCCUGGAUUAAUUCAUUUCUGUCAUAGAGAGUCUAGCAUUUCUUUAUCCAAACUAUUUUUGAACUCUCUGUUCUUGCAUAUUUUUAUAAAUAACUUGUGAAGUUGAGGUACUCUCCUUCCUAAGCAUGUGUUAUGUUUUCAUUCUUUAUAAG